GUGGGGAAUAUUGGACAAUGGGCGAAAGCCUGAUCCAGCCAUGCCGCGUGUGUGAAGAAGGUCUUCGGAUUGUAAAGCACUUUAAGUUGGGAGGAAGGGCAGUAAGUUAAUACCUUGCUGUUUUGACGUUACCGACAGAAUAAGCACCGGCUAACUUCGUGCCAGCAGCCGCGGUAAUACGAAGGGUGCAAGCGUUAAUCGGAAUUACUGGGCGUAAAGCGCGCGUAGGUGGUUUUGUAAGUUGGAGGUGAAAUCCCCGGGCUCAACCUGGGAACUGCAUACAAAACUGCAUGACUAGAGUACGGUAGAGGGUAGUUGAAUUUCCUGUAUAGCGGUGAAAUGCGUAGAUAUAGGAAGGAACACCAGUGGCGAAGGCGACUACCUGGACUGAUACUGACACUGAGGUGCGAAAGCGUGGGGAGCAAACAGGAUUAGAUACCCGUGUAGUCC
rnacentral:rRNA from 1 species